UACGAAGGGGGCUAGCGUUGCUCGGAAUCACUGGGCGUAAAGGGUGCGUAGGCGGGUCUUUAAGUCAGGGGUGAAAUCCUGGAGCUCAACUCCAGAACUGCCUUUGAUACUGAGGAUCUUGAGUUCGGGAGAGGUGAGUGGAACUGCGAGUGUAGAGGUGAAAUUCGUAGAUAUUCGCAAGAACACCAGUGGCGAAGGCGGCUGCCUGGCCCUGACCUGACGCUGAGGCGCGAGAGCGUGGGGAGCAAACCGG
rnacentral:rRNA from 1 species